UUCACCUUGACUACACUCCGAGAUACACCAAUGCUCUCCCAUGGUCUUUCUCUAUUUUGGUUCAAGGAAGAUUGAUGCUCUUUAGCCCAUUACUCACCGCGGCUUCCCACUACACCAUGGAGGCCGAGGUCCACAACCGUGGCUAACAU
rfam:Colletotrichum tofieldiae strain 0861 Ct_v4_contig163, whole genome shotgun sequence.